rnacentral:rRNA from 1 species
UCAGGAUGAACGCUGGCGGCGUGCCUAAUACAUGCAAGUCGAGCGAACAGAUAAGGAGCUUGCUCCUUUGACGUUAGCGGCGGACGGGUGAGUAACACGUGGGUAACCUACCUAUAAGACUGGAAUAACUCCGGGAAACCGGGGCUAAUGCCGGAUAACAUUUAGAACCGCAUGGUUCUAAAGUGAAAGAUGGUUUUGCUAUCACUUAUAGAUGGACCCGCGCCGUAUUAGCUAGUUGGUAAGGUAACGGCUUACCAAGGCAACGAUACGUAGCCGACCUGAGAGGGUGAUCGGCCACACUGGAACUGAGACACGGUCCAGACUCCUACGGGAGGCAGCAGUAGGGAAUCUUCCGCAAUGGGCGAAAGCCUGACGGAGCAACGCCGCGUGAGUGAUGAAGGUCUUCGGAUCGUAAAACUCUGUUAUUAGGGAAGAACAAAUGUGUAAGUAACUAUGCACGUCUUGACGGUACCUAAUCAGAAAGCCACGGCUAACUACGUGCCAGCAGCCGCGGUAAUACGUAGGUGGCAAGCGUUAUCCGGAAUUAUUGGGCGUAAAGCGCGCGUAGGCGGUUUCUUAAGUCUGAUGUGAAAGCCCACGGCUCAACCGUGGAGGGUCAUUGGAAACUGGGAAACUUGAGUGCAGAAGAGGAAAGUGGAAUUCCAUGUGUAGCGGUGAAAUGCGCAGAGAUAUGGAGGAACACCAGUGGCGAAGGCGACUUUCUGGUC